UACGGAGGGUGCGAGCGUUGUCCGGAAUCACUGGGCGUAAAGGGCGCGUAGGCGGCCGUGUAAGUCACUUGUGAAAUCCCGGGGCUCAACUCCGGGGCUGCAGGUGAGACUGCGUGGCUAGAGCACGGUAGAGGCGAGUGGAAUUCCCGGUGUAGCGGUGGAAUGCGUAGAUAUCGGAAGGAACACCUGUGGCGAAAGCGAUGCACUGGACCUCUUCUGACGCUGAGGCGCGAAAGCCAGGGGAGCGAACGGG
rnacentral:rRNA from 1 species